AGUUAACGCUGGCGGUAGGCCUAACACAUGCAAGUCGAACGGCAGCACAGGAGAGCUUGCUCUCUGGGUGGCGAGUGGCGGACGGGUGAGGAAUACAUCGGAAUCUACUCUGUCGUGGGGGAUAACGUAGGGAAACUUACGCUAAUACCGCAUACGACCUACGGGUGAAAGCAGGGGACCUUCGGGCCUUGCGCGAUUGAAUGAGCCGAUGUCGGAUUAGCUAGUUGGCGGGGCAAAGGCCCACCAAGGCGAGGAUCCGUAGCUGGUCUGAGAGGAUGAUCAGCCAAACUGGAACUGAGAGACGGUCCAGACUCCUACGGGAGGCAGCAGUGGGGAAUACUGGACAAUGGGCGCAAGCCUGAUCCAGCCAUACCGCGUGGGUGAAGAAGGCCUUCGGGUUGUAAAGCCCUUUUGUUGGGAAAGAAAUCCAGCUGGCUAAUACCCGGUUGGGAUGACGGUACCCAAAGAAUAAGCACCGGCUAACUUCGUGCCAGCCGCCGCAGUAA
rnacentral:rRNA from 1 species